GCGGUACGCUUCGGUAUGGCAGACCUUGGCUAGAAUACUGAAUAUAGUUCAUAUAUUAUUUUUUUAAAAAAGGUACUUGGUGCACAAGGCUCUAGCCAAUACGAGGUUUGGGGAGGGUCUAUAUAUGUAGCCUUACCAAUAGAAAGAUGCUGAUUUUGUGACUCGAAUGAGAGAGGCUGUGUGCUUAACUUAAAUCUUUUAUUGGUUAUAAAGGAGCAACCUUAUUAUUGUCUUUUUACUGGUUACAACAGAGCAACCUUACCGUUGUAACAAAGGCUUGCCCUCAAAUACCAAGAAUUGUAAUUUUGGUCUGUACCGGUGUACUGAGCUCUACUUGGUACGAUACAUACCGAGGUGUACCUACGGUACGCCCAAAAUCAUCAAAAAACCUCCAAAAAUAUACAAAAAAAUAGAAAAAAAAGUUAGAUUAGGGUUUUUAAGUUAGAAAUAAAUAUAAAUAUAGUAUAAUUUCAGUAAAAAUAAUGUAAAUUAGGAACGAAUAGUGCUAUAUAUCUUUUCUGGGCUUUGAGGAGUAGUUUUAUGGUACGUUCUGGAUCGUCCUUCUAUUAAUAUUGAAUUAUCUACAAAAAAAUUAUUUUAAUUAUUAGAUUACUUUUUAUACAACUUAAACUUUAUGAUUAAAAUGAAUUAAAUAAUAAAUCAAUGGAUAUACUUGGUUCUAUCAUAAAAAAAAAAGACAAGGCUCCACGAGCGGUGGAUCGAGAUCCUCAACCCUAUAUAUCUGUAUAUUAAUAUGAUAUGUUUGUCGGACCCAAUUCUGAAAUUGAUCCCACGACAUAGUAUACUAAGACACCGUUUGCUAUUGGUAUAUCAAUAUGGUGAUGGUCGUAGUCUGAUCAUCAUGAACAACAUGUGUCUGAGGCGGCUCCUAAGGAACGGACGAAUGUGGCAUGUAUUAAUGCGGACUAUAGAAAAUGUCAGAACUUCUACUUUCGCUAUUGAUCUACUACUCUGUAUCAUAUGAUCGAUCAUCGUACUAUUGCUCGAAGAAGCAUGACCAAUUAUCAUCGUGCUGUUGUUAGUUGUAAGAUUCUCCAUAAUACGACGACUAUGAAUAUGAUGAUCUAAUCCAUAAAUUAGAGUGUUCUUCCUCUAGAAAGAGAGUACAUACCACUUGAUUAGAGUAUUCUUCCUCUUAAUCCUCCCAAAUUAGUCUUCUAAAUUUGAUCUAAUCUAUAAAUUGUAGUCUUGUUGAGUUUAGGAGAGUGAAAAUGUGAAAAUAAGUGAGAGAUAUGAGUGAAAAAAAGUUUGAGAGAGUUUAAGAGAUUGAGAGAGUG
rnacentral:lncRNA from 1 species